rnacentral:rRNA from 1 species
CCUACGGGAGGCAGCAGUGAGGAAUAUUGGUCAAUGGACGGAAGUCUGAACCAGCCAUGCCGCGUGCAGGAAGACGGCUUUAUGAGUUGUAAACUGCUUUUGUACAAGGGUAAAUCUCAGUAUGUGUCUUCUGCUGACAGUCCUGUACGAAUCAGGCUCGGCUAACUCCGUGCCAGCAGCAGCGGUAAUACGGAGGAUCCAAGCGUUAUGCGGAUUUAUUGGGUUUAACGGGUGCGUAGGCGGAUUGAUAAGUUAGAGGUAAAAUGUCCGGGCUUAACUCGGGAACUGCCUCUAAUACUGUUGUUCUAGAGAGUAGAUGCGGUAGGCGGAAUGUAUGGUGUAGCGGUGAAAUGCUUAGAGAUCAUACAGAACACCGAUUGCGAAGGCAGCUUACCAAACUAUAUCUGACGUUGAGGCACGAAAGCGUGGGGAGCAAACAGGAUUAGAUACCCCAGUAGUC